GCAUUUGUUUCUUCAUUUCCCCCCGACCUUCCUUUUUAUUUGUCCCUCGUCCAGCUCCUGCGAGGUAGUGUGAAUUUCAUGUGUUGCAUCCCCCCUGCUGGCGGCUUUUAACUCCCUACCCACAUGCCUUUCAUUAACAACACUGGUGUUGUGAAAGCUGGGACUGAAUUACGCGCCAAUGUGUUUGACAUCCAAGCGAUACAUUCACACCGCUCUUUGCAGAAAAUGUGCUCAGAACACAGACACUCAAAAAUCAUUCUGUGUCCAGAAGAAACCCCAUUUUUUCGAGUUAAAAACUCAAAGUCCAGAAUCAGAGCUCAGGUGAGGACCCCAUUGAGCUGCUUUCUCUUUGAGUGGUUGGUUUUUAUAAACUUGUGUGUCAUGAGUCAAGCGGUGACGUGCACUGCGAGCUCUUUGGAGCAGGCCGGUUGUAUAUUUGAUCUAGCACAAAGUUAAUGUUUGACUCUGGAUGCUGAACGCAAAUAGGACAAGAGAGGCACCACGUAGACCCGGACAAGACUAACCCAGAUACAACACGCGGAUGUUAGCAAC
ensembl:lncRNA